GUCAUGGGUACUGAAACACAUUCAAAUAAAUUUUAAUAACACCACUACAUACACACAUAUGCAACAAAGGGCGAAAUGUGCAUAAACAUUUACCUCAACUCUUCUUACAGCACCCUGAAUGAACAACCAAAGUUCUCGUGUUUAAACAAGUUUUGUUUUGAGCUAUAUCAUGGCUGCUUGUGAAGUAUUAUUAUGCUUCUUUUUUUAUUUAAAUCAGUGAUCUGCAGCCUAAUUCAAGUUUAAAUUAUUGAAGCACGCAUUUUAAAAACGUAAAAUAAAAGUUUUGUAAAGCCAAAAUAUGGAAUUGAAGAGGGUGAUACAGAAAUACUUCAUGGCAUUGUCAAUUCGAAGCACGCAAUAGAAGCUGCGCCAGCAAUGGUCAACAGCAAGGGCGAAACCAUUGAAUACAUAUUUCAAACAUCAUACUGCGCGUUAAAGGUACGCAACCUAAUUGCUGCUACAUCGAACACAAAUCAUUUACACACCAGAUAUUAAGUUUAAUGUCACUUUUUUACGUGCAAUUAAACCUUUUGCUCAACACAAGCACGAGAAUUGGAACGACAUGGUUUAGGUGCUUUUGAAACCGUAUAUUAUCACGACGUGUGUCAACUGGGUUUUCCCAAUGAGCUAGAGGGCAAAGCAGUUUCAGUAUUCAUUUUCAUUUUCAUUUUCACCAUUAGCAGCUAAAACACAGAAAUUAAAGGGAGGACUUUUUUGAUUCAUUUUCACCUUGUAUUGAGGAAUUAUAACGUUGUUGUAUCGCUUUACAAGGACAUAAAUUCACCGAAAUUAGUUCAAUGGAAAUACUACAGCAAGAGCAUGUAUGUUAUGACUAGAACGUUGCCCGUACUAGAUUUAGAAUUCCUGAAACAUAAGAAACCCUCCUCCCAGAAAUUGGAUGAAACUAGUACUAGUGAAAUUAAUGAAAGAACAGAUCUUACAAAAACUCCUAAAGAAACCAAAAGAGUCCUCACAUAAUGUGCGCAGCUUACACUUCCAGGCCGCUCGGGGUAUUUGACAUUUGCCACUCUUCCUCCAGCCUUUGUCAGAUAGCAACUAUUCAAUAUGUUUUACAUAUGUAUAUAGUGUAGUACGAUAAUACAUUUAUAAAAUAAAUAUAAUAAUAAACACCUAAA